rnacentral:tRNA from 1 species
GCGGUAGUCGUAUAACGGUUAGUAUACAAGACUGUGGAUCUUGUGGAGGGGGUUCGACUCCCCCCUACCGCC